rnacentral:lncRNA from 1 species
GCCUUGGGCGAGUCAUUUAACCUCCCUGGCCAUUAAAUUUCCUGAAAUCUGAAAUUAGAAUGUUGAGUUGCAUAAUCUAUCUGGUACAUUCCAGGUUAAAAUUCUGGGAUAUCCAUUAUUAGUAAAGAAUAGGAAUUCCCGUCGUGGCUCAGCAGUUAACAAACCCAACUAGUAUCCACGAGGACAUGGGUUCAAUCCCUGGCUUCCCUCAGUGGGUUAAGGAUCCCACUGAGCUGUGGUGUAGGUCACAGGUGCGGCUCCAGUCCCACAUUGCUGUGGCUAUGGUGUAGGCUGGCAGCUACAGUUCCCAGGCUAGGGGUUGAAUCGGAGCUGUAGCCGCUGGCGUACACCACAGCCACAGCAACACGGGAUCCUUAACCCACUGAGCAAGGCCAGGGAUCAAACCUGCAACCUCAUGGAUCCUAGUCGGAUUCAUUAACCAACCACUGAGCCACGAUGGGAACUCCUGUAAAAGUUUUUCUAAGGGAGACAGAGAGAUGGUUAGAAUUUUGACUGCUAUAUUCUCUGGAAAAUUAGAUGAAUCUUUUAUAACUCAAGUUAAUUAUGAUUCUUGAGUAAAAAUAUUCUUACAUAUUGCAGUGACUCAAGACAAACACUGAUUAUUCUGCUUAAUACCAAAAAAAGGGUAGAAGUCUCUAUAUUUAUUUAUAUGGGGCAUUAAAUAAAUUCUUUACAUGUUGCUGUUUUGGGCCACUUAUGUGUUAUAUAAGUGUUUGCACAUAUGUCUGUUAAGUUUAAAUCUGAGCAACUAAUAUUUCAAGAAUUCUCACUACAAGAUUAAAUGUCUGUGGCUUUGAAAAAUGAAUUUUUAAAAAUCUAGUCUGGACAAGGGAGAAAUUAUUGAAUCUUCUAAAAAUGUACAUUGGGCAAAAUGACUGAUAACUUUGCAGUUGGUCAUAAAUACAUAGCAAAUAGCACAUGCAUCUUGUGAGCCCCAACCUGGGGCUAUAUCCUUCUUCCAAGGCUCAUGCUUUCCUAAGUAUCAGGUACCAUAUAUUGGCCCUAGAAUGGUUCUAUUUGUUUUAUCAGCCUACUGCUUCACUUGGCUAUCAUUAGAGAUGGAUUUCUGGAUUUCCAUCUCAUGAAAUACCAAGAGUUUCUUUAAUUUGAAGGUAGCUGAUAUUUACUUGCCUGUUAAAAUCAUGAGAUUGAUUUUAGGGAAGUCUAUAUUUCCCUAUUAUAUCUUUUUGCCUUCAACUUCCCCUUUCCUCCAAAUCUGUGGUAUUCUCACAGUAGAAACAAAUGUCUCGCCAUCUUUCUCUUGCCCAAUUCACUCAAACUUCUAUUUUAUUGUCUGUCUUAAUUUUCAGUACUUUCCCACCUUACUAAUUUUAAUAAGUACAUGAGCAAAGUGUGGUUUUAGUUUACUUUAAAUUUUGAUUAUGAAAAACAAAUAGGAGGAAAAUGGCCAAGUUAUAUCAGCUGUUAAAUGCUAUUUAAAAUUAAAAGCAACAAUAAAAAAAUCAUUGACUCAGAACUAUUCUAUAAGCCACAUGGUGUCAGAUACAUUUUCAAAUGCAAAAUUACUUUUGCAAAUAGUUUUGAAUACUUUGUGGGAAAUAAUGAUACAUUGGGUUAGGAAAUUAUGUACAUUUAAUAUAUCAAAAAAAUCGCUGAAAUGGAACUGAGAAGCUGUAAUUUAUUAAUCAGAUACAAGACAUAUUAUAAUGUUGCCUACUCAUGUAUAUAUUCACUGGGCUUAAAAUGCAGUAAAAUUAUAUUUUGUGAAUAAAGCAUUUUGAAUUCCAUUUUAUGCAUUUAAAAUUUUUCCAUUUAUGAAAAAACACAGAUAACCUAAUGCUUUUCUUCUUAAAAAUCUUUUAUUUCUUCUGGUCUUUGAAUAUUGUCAGCUUAAUAAAGAGAACAAGAAAAUGUUCUUCCUCAUAAAUAGUGCAUGGAUUCCCACAAUUUUAGGCUAAGGCCCAAUAACAACUUACUGUCAUUUAAACUGUGGAAUAUAAGAAUUCAUUUCAACUAAUAUUAAGUAUGACACAAAUUCUUUAUUAAACUCUACACACAUUAGCAAGUAUGUACAAGGCGUUAUGACUUUCCAAGUCUCUGCAGUAUGUUUUUCAUCAUUAAUGUUUUAUGUUUUUUCCCUCUCCAUGCAGAACUGAUCACUUGCUUUAGUGAGACUUCAAAACAGCCCAACCAUUAGAAUUUUUACUUAUGGGAAUUACUGUUGUUGCACAGUGGAAACAAAUCUGCCUAGUAUCCAUGAGGAUGCGGGUUUGUUCCCUGGCCUUGCCGAGUGGGUCAAGGAUCCCAUGUUGCUGUGGCGGUGGUGUAGGCCAGCAGCUGUAGCUUCAAUUCGACCCCUAGCCUGGGAACUUCCAUAUUCUGUACCUGUAGCCCUUAAAAAAAAAAAAAAA